GACGAACGCUGGCGGCGUGCUUAACACAUGCAAGUCGAACGGAAAGGCCCUGCUUUUGUGGGGUGCUCGAGUGGCGAACGGGUGAGUAACACGUGAGUAACCUACCCUUGACUUUGGGAUAACUUCAGGAAACUGGGGCUAAUACCGGAUAGGAGCUCCUGCUGCAUGGGGGGGGUUGGAAAGUUUCGGCGGUUGGGGAUGGACUCGCGGCUUAUCAGCUUGUUGGUGGGGUAGUGGCUUACCAAGGCUUUGACGGGUAGCCGGCCUGAGAGGGUGACCGGCCACAUUGGGACUGAGAUACGGCCCAGACUCCUACGGGAGGCAGCAGUGGGGAAUAUUGCACAAUGGGCGGAAGCCUGAUGCAGCAACGCCGCGUGCGGGAUGACGGCCUUCGGGUUGUAAACCGCUUUCGCCUGUGACGAAGCGUGAGUGACGGUAAUGGGUAAAGAAGCACCGGCUAACUACGUG
rnacentral:rRNA from 1 species